CUACGGGUUGCUGCAGUGAGGAAUAUUGCACAAUGGGGGAAACCCUGAUGCAGCAACGCCGCGUGGAGGAUGACGCAUUUCGGUGUGUAAACUCCUUUUAUAUGUCAAGAAAAUGACGGUAGCAUAUGAAUAAGCACCGGCUAACUCCGUGCCAGCAGCCGCGGUAAUACGGAGGGUGCAAGCGUUAUUCGGAAUCACUGGGCGUAAAGGACGCGUAGGCGGGUUAUCAAGUCAGGUGUGAAAUCCUACAGCUUAACUGUAGAACUGCACUUGAAACUUCUGAUCUAGAGUAUGGGAGGGGGAGAUGGAAUUAGUGGUGUAGGGGUAAAAUCCGUAGAUAUCACUAGGAAUACCUAAAGCGAAGGCGAUCUCCUGGAACAUUACUGACGCUAAGGCGUGAAAGCGUGGGGAGCAAACAGGAUUAGAUACCCCGGUAGUC
rnacentral:rRNA from 1 species